rnacentral:piRNA from 1 species
GCUCUGCAAAGGGCCAGGACGCUCGCUCGU